ACACAAAAUAGAGACGCUCAAACACUUUUCUCUCUCUCUCUAAAAUCUCUCCUCCCUCUCUCUAAAAUCCCUUCUCUGCUAAAAUUUUACCCAGCUCUAAAUCUCUCAAAUCAAGAUGUGAAUCUCAUCUAUCAGUUGAAGGUUUUUCAGAAGAUGAUGCAGCUAAAAUUAUGCCAAACAUGAGAAUGAAACCUCUCAAUCUUGUAUAUGAAAUGAAAGGAACUGGAAAGCUCAACUUAGCAUUCACUACUCUAAAUAUAGUACUAAUGAAGAAAGAUUGUCUCAUCGUCUUGAAGAUGUUGAACUUUAGGACUGGAAAUACCUAAUACAAUAUUUUGGAAGUCCGAAUUUUAAGAUUGUAAGUGAGAGGAACAAAAAAAAAAUAGGGAAAAGCAAACAACUAAGCAUGUUGUGGUACAAGUUCUUUUGCAUAAGUAGAGGAAUCUACGAGAAAUGCUAUUUCGUGGACAAGGAUAUGAAAAGAAACCUCCCAAAAAAGAGUCACACAACAUGCAAACAUAGAGUCCAGUGCAUCUUCUGCUAUGGAAAUUGUGCAUCAAGAGAUGCAAGGUGGUAUUGAUCGGAAGUUGCAAGAAAAACGUGAACAAAUGGCUGCUGAGUUGCAAAGAAAUAUGGAACUUGAGUUGCAAAGGAAGUUGGAACACGAGUUGUCUAGGAAGUUGGCAGAGUAGCGUGAACUCGUAAAUGUAGAAGUAGAGAAGAGGAUCCAGCUAUAAGUGGAAAAGAAGAUGAAGGAACAAUUUGCUACUUUCAUGACCAGAAUGCAACAGGUACUUGCUCUGCUCUUUCUCGACAUUUCUUCUUCCUUCUCGGCAUUUCUUCUUCCUUCCUUCUUGAAAAUUCUUCUGAGACUGGCUUCCUAUCUUCUUUUCAACUUCUCCUCCUUUAACUUUUAUCUUCUUGAUGAGUCUAUAGCUUGAUUUGAUCAAUAUAUGAAUUGUUGGGUUGUUUUGUGUUUAUCUAGUUAAAAAUGCUUUGUAAAAACUAAUGUGCUAUUGUCAACAGGUGAUGACACAAUUGGUUCCUCGUCGAUUGACCUCUAGUAACUUUUUAGAUAUUAAAAUAUGAUUUUUCAAGAUUCUAAAGUAUACUCAAGCAUAAAAGCAAGCAGCUACGUAAUUUUAAACGAAGGAGCCAGAAAUUUUAGCUUUUAAAAUAUAGGUAGAUAUUACUGUCAGGACCAUAUUGUUAAUGCCCAUUCUAUAUUCUGCAAAAUAACCAAAUUUUCUUUUUAGUUUUAUGGGGAGCUUCAUUUUUUCUCUCAAGGCACUUGAAAGUCUUGAACAGAUGAGCAAUCCUGAUAUAGACACUGCAACCGAACAAAAUUUGACCGUGUAUCAGAGACAUCCAAAAAGACAAUGUGAUACACGACCAAAGAACCCAUCACAACUUUCAACAAUGAAAACCGAAUAAACAAACACAAAUAUUUACUUAAAACACGAUAAAAAAUCCACAGCACAGUAGACAAAUAAAAACCAUUUCAAAGCACUCCAGAUCAUAUCCUUGAGCUCCUCAUAAAGAACUAAACAGCUAGGUAUGAACCAUAAAAGUAAAAUCAGAAGGUCCUUCGUUGGAAGCCACAGACUGAGUACUGAACACCUUAGAAAUUUUCUCAGUCAACCUUGUAUCAUUUCUCGGUGGAUUGUUGAACGAUCUCAUUGUACUUCCCAGAAUAGUAAGUAGCUAUUGGAGCAACUGCAUGAGUAACUUUAGGAACAAUGGGAAUCCAGCUUAGAGAGAGCCAAACUGAUGUUGCAUAUUGCUCAUUGGCUCGUACUUGGUGUAAAGUCCCUUGGCGCCAGGCUCAUACUUGGCAUAGACUGUUUUUGCAAGUCCUGAUGCAGCUCCUAUAACACCAGCACUUUUGACAUCGACUGCAACAGAGCAAUCAGCUGCAGAAGCCUAGAACACAAAUCGCAAUCUUACGAAUAGACUCAUCAACCUGCAAUCAAAUCAAAUAGUGAGCAAUCUGAUGAAAGAGGCAGAGCAAUUUAAUAGUAUGUUUUUAAUAACUGACAAAGCAUAUUUAACUACAAGAACUAUUACUACAAAAUUUUAUAGUGCCAGUUGGUACCAAAUCACAUACUAUUUUCACAAAAGGUGAAAGUUGUUACAUAAUUUAUUCAUCAGCCUAAUAUUAUUAUCUCUUCAUUCGCCAACCAACAUAGAAAUAGAUACAUACAAUAACCACAAGAAUGCUAAAAAAAACAGAAGCAAUAUGCAUCCCAACAGCCUAGGAUUCUAUAACAGUUCACCAAAUCAGAAGAGCAUCCUCACUUUGAAAUCCCAUAAUCAAUCCCUAUGCAACUAAUAAGAUAUCUCAAACAUUUCAUGUCUAAACUAACUUUGUGUCUAACAGAAAAAUCUCACCACCACAAACACAGUGCAUCAACGCCUGAAAACAUCCAAUUUUCAUUUGAAGUAUAGGAAGGAGAAUAUGCUAGUUCAGUUCUAUGGAAUGUGGAAACAGAAAUUUACUUAUAAAAAAAUUUCCCAAGUAAAGCAGGCAGCAGGCAGCAUGAGCGGCUAAUUACACUCUCGAAUAUAAAAAAGAACAAGUAUCCUAACAGAGAUUCUAAAAUAAAAAUAGGCGAUACCAUAAUUUUUGGCAAGACGUUGGUACCAAAAGAUAAAUUUUAUCAAAAAGGUAUAGUAGAUGUGUGCAAAUCAGGAACAGUUACUAACAUGUAUGUAAAUUGUUUAUCAGAAAUUAGUCAAAAUAACUGAAAACUAAUAUUUACCAACCAAAUUUGUGAUUACCAACAUUCCAACAAAAAUGCGGAGAGCUUGCAGCAGAUUCAAAUAGAACAAAGAUACAUAAACUUUCUGUAGAUGCCAACGGGAGAAUUCGCAGUGAAUAAUCGAGAACUAAAGGAAAAAAUAGAAACAUAUACCGCGGAAGAGAUAAUGUAGUGUUCUUAUCUCACAAGUCACAGCCACGUUGUUCAGCAACUUUUAGCGUACAUCUAGCUGCUCACGCCACUCUUUCAGAAUACGAAAAGGCAGGAAAAAGACUUAAAGGUAAUAGUAUUGACUCGGAGUAAAUGCAGUUAGCCUGCAAUUUAGAGAGGUACAGCAAUUUAAAGAUAGAGCUACUUGCAAUACCUGAAGGUGGUGUAGCUUACAUUCACUCACUCAGUUCAACAAACUUCAAUAUCUCAUAAUGGCAAACUGAUCGAAACAUUGAACUACUAUGUGCUUUAACUAACAUAUCUGACUUCGGAAGAAGGAUCAGAUUUUUGUCUCAUAUGUUUGUCAUUGCAUGUGGUCAUCCCUCGUGAAAGUCUUUGUGUAUAGUCUGUAGCCUAGAACAGAAGAGAGUAUUAGGAUCCACUUAAAUUCCAUUGGUGUUCAUUUAUGUUUCAUGAUCAUCAUUUGUCACAAAAUUUAAUAUAGUCAGAUAGAAUAAUUAAAUUAUUAACAUAUUUGAUCAUGUAGAUUUCUACAAUAAGUAUAGCAAAAUAUCACUCACCUAUGGGCAGAAUGUUGAACGCCUCAAACAUAACCCUGGUCUUAAUACAUAAUACAAACUUGUUAAAUUUCUUCGUACUUUCAUGCUCUAUUAGAAGAGGUUAACCUGUAGCUUAUAUUAUUCCUUAAAGUUCUCCAUAGUAUGGCAUGUAACAAAAAGGUCAACUUUUAUACAAUAUAAACAAUACCCACGUGAGAUAAUGUAAAAAAAGAAAAAAAGAUAAGCAAGCAAAUAUAAAACUUACCCUUUUAAGGAGGAUGCAUAAAAAUCCAAGAAACUGAGCGGUCUACGUAAAGUAGUAAUGAAAAAGGACAGAUAUGUUGUGGAUAGAACAAAUCCAGAAGUUGGGAUUGUAUAGUAAGAAUUGGAGAUAAAGCAGAGGUAUUUGUACAAGUUAGUUAAUAAAAAAAAAGAGGACAAAGGAGGAAGUCACAGACGAAAACAGAGCAAGCCAUUGGAAGAUGAAGACGACUCUACAGAGAACAGCAGUUGCUAGCGACGCACGUGUCAAAGUGGGAAAAAAAGGGGCAGUGCGUGUCUAAUUUUGUAAGCGCAGGAGGCCUUUUCCUAAUUUUUCAACCAUUGCUAUAUUGAGUAUCGGGGGCAAAAUAGAAAUAAACUAAAUUUUAUGGUUUUUAUGUAAACUCACAUUGACCAGAAGCUCCUCUCAUUCCCCUUUCUA